rnacentral:rRNA from 1 species
AGCAGCCGCGGUAAUUCCAGCUCCAAUAGCGUAUAUUAAAGUUGUUGCAGUUAAAAAGCUCGUAGUUGAAUUUUAGCCCUGGUUUGGGUGGUCCGCCUAUCGGCUGGUACUGCUCCGACUGGGGUUCUCCUUCUGGUGGGCCUGUAUGCUCUUCACUGGGUGUGCAGGUGCGCCAGGACUUUUACUUUGAAAAAAU